CGGCUCAUCCAGCAGCAAAACCUUUGGGUUCCCAAGAACAGCAAUGCCAACUGACAGCCGUCGCUUCUGUCCCCCGCUGAGCUUCUUGGCUUGGUUAUCUCGGAUGGGCUGCAUAUCCAAAUCCAGCAACACCUUCUGCACCUCCUGUAUCAAGUCAUUCUGAGGUAUUCCUUUAAUGGCAGCGAAGAGGGAGAGGUUCUCCUCCACCGUCAAUAUAUCGAAGUGGAUGUCGGACUGUGGGCACACGCCUGCGAUGCGCCGCACUUCGAGCAUCUCGUCGAUUUCGGAGACUCUGUGCCCAUAGACAGAGACAAAC
rnacentral:lncRNA from 1 species